rnacentral:rRNA from 1 species
UACGUAGGGGGCUAGCGUUGUCCGGAUUUAUUGGGCGUAAAGAGCUCGUAGGCGGUCUGUCGCGUCUGCUGUGAAAACUCGAGGCUCAACCUCGGGCUUGCAGUGGAUACGGGCAGACUAGAGUGCGGUAGGGGGAGACUGGAAUUCCUGGUGUAGCGGUGGAAUGCGCAGAUAUCAGGAGGAACACCGAUGGCGAAGGCAGGUCUCUGGGCCGCAACUGACGCUGAGGAGCGAAAGCAUGGGGGAGCGAACAGG